AAAACAUAAAUCUUUUGUAUUCAGAUAGAUUUAUAUCUCCCAUGUAACGUUAUUUCUGUCAGCGCCGACAUUGUCUCACGUAACUUUUUAUAUUAAAUCAUGUUAAAAAUGUAGUGCUGUCAUCAUUUUUGUUAACGCCGUCAUCGUAUCACAUGAAAUUGGUAUAUUAAACCAUGUGAAAAUAUAACGCCGUUUUUUUUAGCGCCGUCAUUGUGUCACACAAAAGUUUAAAUAAUAUAGUGGGAAUAAAUUGUUGAUAAAGAAAUCAUAGCAUUAAAUUAGAUAUUUAAAAAUAAUGAUUAUUAAUUUAAAUAUAUUUAAUUGACCAAUCUAAGUCUCAUGCUAUUUAAAAUGUAAUUGAUAGUAAUAUAUAGGGGUCUCAAAAUGGAUAACUCAACUCAACUCAACUCAUAAUUAAAUGAGUUUAGGGUUAAAUGAGUUAUGGGAUGACCCAACUCAUUUUGUUAAAUGGGUUGGGUCAACCCAUAACUCAUUUAAUUUGAUGGGUUGAGUUGUUAAAUGGGUUAACCCAUUUAAGUAAUAAUUUAAUUAAUUAUUAUUAUAAAAUAAUAAUAAAUAAUUAUCAUUAUUAAUAAUUAUUAAUUCAUUAUCAUUAAACUUAGGAUAUUUACGGAUUCUACUUUUUACGGGUUUACGUUUUCGGCGAGAAAAUUACGGAUUAACGUUUUUGGCGGGAAAUUCACGGGUUUACGUUUUUUGGCGGGAAAAUUACAACUUUACGUUUUUGGCGGGAAAAUCACGGGUUUUUGUUUUUGGCGGAAAAUCACGGGUUUACGUAUUUUGGCGGGAAAAUUACGGAUUUACGUUUUUGGCGGGAAAAUCACGGGUUUACGUUUUUGGUGAAAAAAUCACGGGUUUACGUUUUUGGCGGGAAAAUCACAAGUUUAUGUUUUUUGUUGGGAAAAUCACGAGUUUUCGUUUUUGGCAGGAAAAUUACGGGUUUAUGUUUUUGGUGGAAAAAUUACGAGUUUACUUUUUCUCAGUUUCAUCGCUUGUAUAUUUAAGAAAUUUGGAAAAAUAUUGAUUUUAUUAAAUUGGUUUAGAUGUGUUGGUUAAACUUAAAUUGGCAUUGGUUUAGAGAUUUUGGUUGGUUCAGUUCAAUUUUACAAAACUUGAUGGGUUAAUUGGGUAAACCAUUGAAACCAUUAAGCAUUACAACCCAACUCAUUUUACUCAUCAAACCAAUUGACCCAAUAACUCAUUUGACCCAUCAACUCAUUUGAGUCAAAACUUUCAACUCAUUAGGGUUCAUGAGUUGAAUUGAGUUGAGUUGACCCAUGAAUUUUGACCCAUUUUGACACCCCUAGUAGUAUAUCAUCAAAAUUGCAACUAUUACUAUGAAGCCAACUUAUCAAUUUGGACCAAAAAAGCAAAUUAUCAAAUCUAGUUUUAGGAUCAUAAUACCACUGCUUUUAUAAUGUUUUAAUGAUAUAAAGUAAGGCCCUAUUUGUUUGUCCAUCCACAUGAUCCAUCCAAAUGAAAAUGAAAAAUAAUGUUUGUUUUUGACAAUUUAACAAGCAUUUGGAUCGAUCAUCUGGAUGAUACAUCUGAAUGAGUUUCUAAAUUUAGACAAAUUUAUGAAACUCAUUUGGAUAAAUUUGAUUGAACCAUUUGGAUGGAGAUGGUUCAUCUAAAAAUAACAAAAGACUGAUAUACCCUCAUUUAUAGUCAUAAUUUAAAU
rnacentral:sRNA from 1 species